GUCCAACUGACGAGUCCCAAAUAGGAAGAAACGCGCGUUCUGGAU
rnacentral:hammerhead_ribozyme from 1 species